AGGCGGCUAGUUUAAAAAAAAUUCUAGAUUUCGGCUCAAGAGCUUGUGGUUAAAGUCCGCAGCCACCUA
rnacentral:tRNA from 1 species